rfam:Phaeobacter sp. CECT 7735 genome assembly, contig: 0001
AUGACCGAUGCCAAACUGCCCGACAUGCAGGCCGGAUGGGAGCAGAUGUGCUCAAACGUUCUCGCCGGGGUUGCCGGUUUGAACAUGGUCUAUGAAUCCG